rnacentral:tRNA from 1 species
GGUCCCGUGACGCGUGCGUGGUCGCAAGCCAGGGGCUUCAAACCCCUGUAACUCGACGAGGGUUAGCGGUUCGAUUCCGCCAUGGGACCGCCA